GUUGAUUCAAGAAACUUCCGUUACUUUGUCUCAGCUUAUAAACUGUGUCUAUUGUGCUUAUUGAGGUUGCAGUUAUCAGAAGCCAAGUAGUCUUUUUUUUAUUGAAAGAUAACUUGUAUUUUGAAAGAAAAUAUAAUUUAUGCUAUUCAUUCUUUGCUCUGAUUUUAUGAAUAAAUUUUCCAUAGGAAAAUUUAUAGUAUAUCAGAGGAAGAAAGAUAAAAUUAUUGGUCAUUUCUAUACCAUAUAAGUAUAAAAUAAUGAAACGUUCAUUUUUGUUUUAAAACUUUUUCCACAUGAGAUUCUCAUUGAGCCAAUUUUCAUACAUAUCUGGCUAGCCUGAAGUUUAGGAAUUUGUGUUGGCAUCAGAAAAUCAAACAGAUCAGGGAAAUUGCUGUGUGGUUGAUUGUCACUUGAAUUGACUCAUCACAUUUAUUUUUGUGACAGUCCAUGUCAGUUAAUUAGGAAAGAUUGUGGUUUUUUUUUUUUGCCCCUGAUAAAUGGUGAAAUUCAAGUAUGAUAUUUCUUUAAAGGGUUGUGCCUCCAAAUAUUUUUGGUGAGGUCUGCUGUUUUUCAUAUUCAUCAUUUUAUGCUACUGCCUUUUAAAAAGAACUAAUGUAUCUUUGAAAUAGCACAAAAAUGUUUUAAAUUUCAUAAUUUCAAAAUAACCUGUGACUAACUUAAUGUCUUCAUAUCUAGAGAGUAUAAAAAUAUUGAUAUUUCAGUGAUAUUUCACUUGCUGCCAGAAAAAAAUAUUCUCAAUCUUUUGUAAGAGGGAGGAGGAUUUUUGCAUACAUUUUUACUCUUUAAAUAAAGACACUUAUACUGUCAUAAUAACAAUUAUGUAUUUCUUUGUGGGUUUUAUUUUUUUUUUUGUAAUUUUACAUAAGACAGUUAUUUUCUAUUUUUACUCAGAUAAAAAAUAUUUGUGCAUAAAAUGUAAAAAUAGUAAAAUGAGAAAAAUAAAACUAUUAUACAGUAUAUUUCUGUGUUUUUUAGAAGUUUUUUCCCCAGCAUACAGAUAGUCUCAAAUUCCUAGGAUAUUUGGUUAGAUGAAAAUGUGACAGUUCACAUCUGGUGUAUUAUACAUGUGAUUCCC
rnacentral:lncRNA from 1 species